CUUCUUCCUGUAUCUACGGACCACGG
rnacentral:piRNA from 1 species